GUCCCUGUAGCGCAAUGGAUAGCGAGUUGGACUUCUGAUUCAAAAGUCGUGGGUUCGAAUCCCACCUGGGAUG
rnacentral:tRNA from 1 species